UUGGCUUAGAAGCAGCCAUCUUUUAAAGAUAGCGUAACAGCUCACUGGUCUAAUUAAGUUGUCCUGCGGCGAAGAUGUAACGGGGCUCAAGCCAUGAGCCGAAACUUCGGAUGCAUUUAAUGCAUGGUAGCGGAGCGUAGUGUGACAUAGUUCCAUGCGUCCUUCGUUUUAUAGCGGACUGCCCAGGCUUUCGAGCCUGUGUGGAGGCGCGUAAAAUACUGGACGCAAGGAGCUUUCUGUGAAGCCGGCCUGUGAGGGAUCCGGUGGAGAGAUCACUAGUGAGAAUGAUGACAUGAGUAACGACAAAGGGGGUGAGAGACCCCCUCGCCGAAAAUCCAAGGGUUCCUGCUUAAAGCUAAUCUGAGCAGGGUAAGCCGGCCCCUAAGCCGAGGGCGAAAGCCGUAGGCGAUGGGAACCAGGUUAAUAUUCCUGGGCCAGGAGGAAGUGACGGAUCAUGAAGAUUGUUGGAUCAGGCGUAGUUGCCCCAGCAGUUAAGUGGUUCCUGGAAAUAGCCCUCCAUCAGACCGUACCCUAAACCGACACAGGUGGAUAGGUAGAGUAUACCAAGGCGCUUGAGAGAACUAUGUUGAAGGAACUCGGCAAAAUACCUCCGUAAGUUCGCGAGAAGGAGGCCCGGUUUCUAGGCAACUGGAAGCUGGGGGCACAAACCAGGGGGUGGCGACUGUUUACUAAAAACACAGGGCUCUGCGAAGUCGCAAGACGACGUAUAGGGUCUGACGCCUGCCCGGUGCCUGAAGGUUAAAAGGAGGGGUGAGAGCUCCGAAUUGAAGCCCAGGUAAACGGCGGCCGUAACUAUAACGGUCCUAAGGUAGCGAAAUUCCUUGUCGGGUAAGUUCCGACCUGCACGAAUGGCGUAACGACUUCCCCGCUGUCUCCAACAUAGACUCAGUGAAAUUGAAUUGCCUGUCAAGAUGCAGGCUUCCCGCGGUUAGACGGAAAGACCCCGUGCACCUUUACUACAACUUUACACUGAUAACAGGCACAACAUGUGCAGAAUAGGUGGUAGGCUUUGAAGCAGAAACGCCAGUUUUUGUGGAGCCUCCUUUGAGAUACCACCCUUGUUUUGCUUGUUAUCUAACUGCGGUCCGUUAUCCGGAUCCAGGACCCUGUAUGGUGGGUAGUUUGACUGGGGCGGUCGCCUCCUAAAGCGUAACGGAGGCGCGCGAAGGUUGGCUCAGAGCGGUCGGAAAUCGCUCGUUGAGUGCAAUGGCAGAAGCCAGCCUGACUGCAAGACUGACAAGUCGAGCAGAGUCGAAAGACGGCCAUAGUGAUCCGGUGGUCCCGAGUGGAAGGGCCAUCGCUCAACGGAUAAAAGGUA
rnacentral:rRNA from 1 species